rnacentral:rRNA from 1 species
UACGUAGGGUGCGAGCGUUGUCCGGAAUUAUUGGGCGUAAAGAGCUCGUAGGCGGUGUGUCGCGUCGGCCGUGAAAACCUGGGGCUCAACUCUGGGCGUGCGGUCGAUACGGGCAUCACUGGAGUUCGGCAGGGGAGACUGGAAUUCCUGGUGUAGCGGUGAAAUGCGCAGAUAUCAGGAGGAACACCGGUGGCGAAGGCGGGUCUCUGGGCCGAUACUGACGCUGAUACGCGAAAGCGUGGGGAGCAAACAGG